GCACGUGCCCUGGGCACCGUGGGAGGUCCAGCAGAAGGGGGUGCCGUCGGCCAGGGCAUCGUACCUGCUCGGCCCCCCUUAGUUACCUCCCCCGCUACCCGCCACCGCCGGCGUCAUUGUGCUGCUGCCUGUAUAGCUGCUGUCCUCCCUCCCCACUGCACCGCCGAGCUAAACCCGUAUGUCGUGGUGCUCGGCGGCAAUUGAGUAGCAGCAGCAGCAUCCAGUCACCUGCUGCUGGGAGGGAGCAUGACUGAGCUCCCCGCUGCUUGGCCACCCCUGCUCCGUCUGGACUUGCAGGCUCCCCGGUUCCCGGCUCUCUGACUCGAGACCCGGCUCCCAGCUGAAGCACUGAUUCGUAUAUCUCCAUACCCAAAAUGCAAAUGCCAUGUCAGGGGCAAAGAUGGACUCAUGCCCGUUCCCAAUCUGCUUUUACCUACACAACAGCUUCCCUACUUCCUGAGCACAAAUGAUCUGUAAGAGGAGGCAUCCAAGGAUCAGUAUAGGUGCAUCUAUGCAGCUGAUCUUCAGCAUUUAUCUUUCAAAGUACCUGGACAGCACUUGCAUUUGCUAUGCCGUUUCACCAGGAGCCCACAUUGCUCCGGAGAUGUACACUAACUGUGUGAAUAUAUAAAAAUGCCAGAGCCACCUGGAUCUGUAUUGAGAUGCUCUCCAGCGACUUUGUGAGUGCCAGUGGCUGUGUACGAUAACGCAACUUUGGUCGCACAUCAGUCAAUUAUGGAACCAUUGCAGCUGCCACCCCUCAAAAACAGCAACAACACGCCAUCUUUUUUGCUGCCACCCCCGUACCUGCCCCCAAACAGUUCCUGACUGUCAAUCACUUUGCAAAUAAAUCUGCUCUGCGACCACCA